GAUGAACGCUGGCGGCGUGCCUAAUACAUGCAAGUCGAGCGAACAGACGAGGAGCUUGCUCCUCUGACGUUAGCGGCGGACGGGUGAGUAACACGUGGAUAACCUACCUAUAAGACUGGGAUAACUUCGGGAAACCGGAGCUAAUACCGGAUAAUAUAUUGAACCGCAUGGUGCAAUAGUGAAAGACGGUUUUGCUGUCACUUAUAGAUGGAUCCGCGCCGCAUUAGCUAGUUGGUAAGGUAACGGCUUACCAAGGCAACGAUGCGUAGCCGACCUGAGAGGGUGAUCGGCCACACUGGAACUGAGACACGGUCCAGACUCCUACGGGAGGCAGCAGUAGGGAAUCUUCCGCAAUGGGCGAAAGCCUGACGGAGCAACGCCGCGUGAGUGAUGAAGGUCUUCGGAUCGUAAAACUCUGUUAUUAGGGAAGAACAAAUGUGUAAGUAACUAUGCACGUCUUGACGGUACCUAAUCAGAAAGCCACGGCUAACUACGUG
rnacentral:rRNA from 1 species